CUGGGACCCCACAGCACAUUUCUCCAAUUCUCUGUCCGACUGCUCCCCUCUCUGUCAGCAUCCCCCUCCCUGCUUGCUUGACGCUGUGUUGGGAUUUCUAGAGAGUGUGUUGAGCAGCUCUGAUGGUGUGAGGGCUGGCUGAGCAGAGCACCAGUCCUCCCGGCCCCUGUUCUGUCUGGUCUGGGAGACCACUGCAUCUCAGAACCUCAAGUUCUGGCAGGAAGGGAUGGGAUGAACAUUCCAAGAGCACAGGGAGGAAGGAAAGCUACCCCCUCGGCCUCUUCCCCCAGCUUUCUCGAUGGGGCCUCCACGUGAAAAGUAACUACAAAACAGAACCAGAAAAUAGUCAUGCUGUUCAAACAUUACACUCCAAGAAAAGAAACUCUAGUGUAUAACAGAGGGGCUCUGUCAAAAUUUAACAACAUAAAUAUUGGGCAAAUGAAGUUGUUUCUCUGGUGCUAUCUCAACCUGCCAAUGGAGAAAUAUCUCAAAAAGUCAAGAAUUGAAGCCAUUACUCAGAGACAGCAUCCUAUGGCAUGGUGAUCCAAAACAAGUACACCUCUACCUUUUCCCUUUCAGCCCCAAACCCCAAAACACUGGAGAAUAUUGGGGCAGGCAAGGCCCGUGAAUAGGUGAGCAGAGCUGGAAGAAGAGACUCCUGCCCCUGGUGGGCCUCAGGCUAUUUGUGGAAUGAUGUUUGUGAGAUGAACAUGUUCGCUCCCUCACCCGGAUGUUUUGGACAUAGGAGCCUGGAGUAAAGAGUGUAUAUCUUGGGCUGUCAUUUUCCCGUGUGAAAGGUGUUUUGUUUUCUCCCCGUUUGCACAACUUGUUUCCCUUAAACUGUGCUGUGCAUGGCUAGGAAGCUCAGCAAUAGACUAAACAGUUUGCGAUCCCACAGUUUUGCUUUCUGUUUCUCAGGCCUGACCCAACACUCCAUGGGUUCCCUAGCCCUUCGUAGGUGCUUCGAAACACUCAUGGGGUCCUUGACCUGAUCCCAGUGGGGGUUUGUGUGUGGAAGUUAGGGAACCUCUCUUUGAGAGUUCUGGUGCCCCUAACUCUGUAGGGUCUGACUUCACUUCUGCCCCAAUAAGAAUGAAAGGCUUUGCCAGUAGUGCAGCCCUCUCCUCCCAAAGUCCUAGAGGCAAUUACUCUGAAAUAUGGAAGAAAGAGGCACAUCUGAAAGCCCAGUGCUGUCUUCUUGUCCUCACAUCCCUCAGGAUCUCAAGGU
rnacentral:lncRNA from 1 species